rnacentral:tRNA from 1 species
UUUAAGAUAAGCUAAUCUCCAAGCUAUUGGGCCCAUAACCCAAAAGUGAUACAAAGUCUCUUAAAA